rnacentral:rRNA from 1 species
UACGUAGGGUGCGAGCGUUAAUCGGAAUUACUGGGCGUAAAGCGCGCGCAGGCGGUCUGUUAAGACCGAUGUGAAAUCCCCGGGCUUAACCUGGGAACUGCAUUGGUGACUGGCAGGCUUUGAGUGUGGCAGAGGGAGGUAGAAUUCCACGUGUAGCAGUGAAAUGCGUAGAGAUGUGGAGGAAUACCGAUGGCGAAGGCAGCCUCCUGGGCCAACACUGACGCUCAUGCACGAAAGCGUGGGGAGCAAACAGG